AAUCAACGCUGGCGGCGUGCCUAACACAUGCAAGUCGAACGAGAAAGGGGCUUCGGCCCUGAGUAGAGUGGCGGACGGGUGAGUAACACGUGGGUGAUCUACCCUCCAGUGGGGGAUCACACAUCGAAAGGUGUGCUAAUACCGCAUGGAGUUCCGGUUGUCGCGAUCGGAAUGAAAGCAGCAAUGUGCUGGAGGAGGAGCCCGCGCCGGAUUAGCUAGUUGGUGGGGUAAUGGCCUACCAAGGCAACGAUCCGUAGCCGGCCUGAGAGGGUGACCGGCCACACUGGAACUGAGACACGGUCCAGACUCCUACGGGAGGCAGCAGUGGGGAAUUUUGCGCAAUGGGGGAAACCCUGACGCAGCAACGCCGCGUGGACGAUGAAGGCCUUUGGGUCGUAAAGUCCUGUCAGCAGGGAAAAACACAAUGAUGGUACCUGCAGAGGAAGCUCCGGCUAACUUCGUGCCAGCCGCCGCGGUAA
rnacentral:rRNA from 1 species